GGGGGUUUCCGCCCCUUAGUGCUGCAGCUAACGCAUUAAGCACUCCGCCUGGGGAGUACGGUCGCAAGACUGAAACUCAAAGGAAUUGACGGGGGCCCGCACAAGCGGUGGAGCAUGUGGUUUAAUUCGAAGCAACGCGAAGAACCUUACCAGGUCUUGACAUCCCGUUGACCACUGUAGAGAUAUAGUUUCCCCUUCGGGGGCAACGGUGACAGGUGGUGCAUGGUUGUCGUCAGCUCGUGUCGUGAGAUGUUGGGUUAAGUCCCGCAACGAGCGCAACCCUUGAUCUUAGUUGCCAUCAUUUAGUUGGGCACUCUAAGGUGACUGCCGGUGACAAACCGGAGGAAGGUGGGGAUGACGUCAAAUCAUCAUGCCCCUUAUGACCUGGGCUACACACGUGCUACAAUGGACGAUACAAACGGUUGCCAACUCGCGAGAGGGAGCUAAUCC
rnacentral:rRNA from 1 species